GCAGUUUGAAAAAGCAGGAAAGGGUAUUUUUUUCAGCAUAUAAGGGAAUGGCAGAGCUUCGAUGAGUAAUCACUCUCUGGCGAAUUGACUGGUGCGGUGGUAUUUGUUCACAUCUGCUCAGCAGACGUUGUCAGUCCGAGAAUGAGCUACAUGCCGACAACAUCAGAGGGUUUUCAAAGGAGAAGCCUGGCAGGUGGACGAUGGGACUUACAGCACAUGGACUGCAGCGGUUCAAGAAGGCAGC